rnacentral:rRNA from 1 species
AUGUCUGGAAGCACGGGAGAAUGUUCUUUUGCUGAUAUUAUUGCCAGUAUUCGAUACUGGGUUAUUCAUAGCAUUACUAUACCUUCCCUAUUCAUUGCGGGUUGGUUAUUUGUCAGUACGGGUUUAGCUUAUGACGUGUUUGGAAGUCCUAGGCCAAACGAGUAUUUCACGGAAAGCCGACAAGGAAUUCCGUUAAUAACCGACCGUUUUGAUUCUUUAGAACAACUCGAUGAAUUUAGUAGAUCCUUUUAG